AACUCUGUAGCUCAGUUGGUUUGAGUGCUGGACUGGAUUUGCAGGGUCGUAGGUUUGAUUCCGGCCAGAGCUA